AUAAUAUUAGGAUCGUCGGUCUACCGAGCAAUUUCAUGCGCUCGGUGGGAGAUCUUCCCUUUGCCAU
rnacentral:pre_miRNA from 1 species